CUACUACUCUCUCCGUCCGAAAAUAUUUGUUAUCAAAAUGAAUAAAAGGGAAUGUAUCUAAAUGUAUUUUAGUUUUAGAUACAUCAUUCUUUAUUUAUUUUGAUAACAAAUAUUUUCGGACGGAGGAAGUACUAG
rnacentral:pre_miRNA from 1 species